AUUGAACGCUGGCGGCAGGCUUAACACAUGCAAGUCGAGCGAGCGGCGGACGGGUGAGUAAUGUAUGGGGACUGCCCGUUCGAGGGGGAUAACUACUGGAAACGGUAGCUAAUACUACAUACUAUCGGAUAACCCAUAUGGGAUUGGCCAGUAGGUGAGGUAAUGGCGUAACUAGGCGACGAUCCCUAGCUGGGCUGAGAGGAUGAUCAGCUACACUGGGACUGAGAGACGGCCCAGACGCCUACGGACGCAGCAGUGGAGAAGAUUGCACAAUGGGCGAAAGCCUGAUGCAGCCAUGCCGCGAGGAUGAGGAAGGCCCUAGGGUUGUAAGGUACUUUCAGUCGGGAGGCGUUACCGGCAGAAGAAGCACCGGCUAACUCCGUGCCAGCAGCCGCGGUAAUAC
rnacentral:rRNA from 1 species